AAAAAAGAAAGCUUCAACACUUCUCUUCUCUUCUCUGCUUGUUCGACCCCUUGUUUUCAAUUUCAGUCAUAUAUUUUGUUGGACUGAAAGCAGUAGUAAGUGAAAGUGUGCAGCAACCACUACUCUGCUAUGACAACUUGAUCAGGACAAUUUUUCUAUUUCAAGAAGGAUAUUGUGUUUUCAAGGCUUACUGUCUUUGAUUGGCGUUGAUUACGGCGUUGGGAAAAAUACUCUAUUGUUGUAGACAAGGGGCAGUAGGAAGCAAGUGCCAUAGACAUGAUCGUGCCAGUAGGAUUGAGAGAAUCUUAAGCUUUUCAUGCAUCUGAUGGCAAUGCUGAACUGGUCUUGUCAAUGCAGUACAUCACCAAAGGGGAGCAGCCAAUUGAAUUUCCAUGACAGCUAUGUUUCUAUUCAAAGCUAUUGGCCCUGCUGCUGGUGGUACAAUGCACAAAUAACUUCAAUAUUGAGGAUGAUCCAUUAUUCUGACAAAGUGCAUGUGCUUAGGGAGGCCAUUAAUAUCCUGUGGAAAUCGAGCAUGGUCCA